UUCACAAGUAAAUAGUAAUAUGCUCUUCUAAACUGUUCUGGUGACAAACAAACUUUGCUGGUCUGUUUUCAAUCGUCCACAUGGCUGGGAAAAUCUACUCAAGUAAGUAAAUACAUUUUGAAAAUGUAAAACAAAAAGAUGUAUUAUAGGCUAUAGUGCAGACUAACUCAAAUGAGCUGCUAAUUUAGCGAGUUAGCUAUCUAGCCAACUUUACAUACUAUAUAGCUAGCUAGCUAAGAUCAUUAAAUAUCAGCAGCUAGCUAUCUUGAUGUAUUUAUCAGUUUAAAAAACAAACUCCAAGUGCAUUUGUAGGUACCGAGCUAAUAGCCAUGGAAGAGGGUGAAAGGAUAGCAGAUGUAGAGGUCACAAUGAAGUGCAGUGGUUCUCAGUCCUGGGGAUUAUUUUUUAUUUAUUUUACCUUUAUUUAACAAGGCAAGUUAGACAAGGUAACAAAAUCUUAUUUAUAAUGACGGCCUACUGGGGAACAGUGGAUUAACUGCCUUGUUCAGCGGCAGAACAACAUAUUUUUAUCUUGUCAGCUCAAGGAUUCAAUCCAGCAACCUUUCGGUUACUGGCCCAACUCUCUAACCACUAGGCUACCUGGUGCCUCAAUGGGGUGGACAUUUUUGUUUUUGCCUUAGCACUACACAGCUGAAUCAAAUGAUCAACUCAUCAUCAAGCUUCAAGUGAUACCUUGCAACUGGAGAUUCCUUCAAAACGAUUGCCUACAGUUACCAUGUGAGACACUGCACGGUUGGGUUACUAGGUCUAUCUGGGGCUGCCUCGUGGGGGAAUUCAGAUGUGUGUGAAGGUGUCAUGACGUCGCCCUCUAUGAGUACAGCGAACACCAUCCCCCGCUCUCUGUUUCUACAACCAGACUGCUGUGGUCAGAGGUCGUACAUUCCUGAGAAGACCUCAUGGACACACAGUUAUAGAGAGUAGUUUUUCAUGGAGACAAAGGAAAUCCUUCCACCUCACAUAACUUGAGGUCAUGUUCCAGAGAAAGUGUAAAAGAUCGGUGAAGAAUCCAGCUAUGAACUGGUGAGUUUGGCACAACUUGGGAAGCUCAAGAGGGACGGUGUGACCACAUUACCAUAACGCUGUUUAUAUAAUAGCCUCGGAUAUGAGGUUUACAUCUAAUUGUUGUAUAAGAUGAAUGAGUGAGUAUGAUACUGUUUGUAUAAUUGUGUAAUAUGAUUGUGGACUGUUUAAUGAAGAAAAAUACAAUUCCCUUUUGAUUUGAACUAAAUCAGAGGACCGCCC
ensembl:lncRNA